CCUACGGGCGGCAGCAGUGGGGAAUAUUGGACAAUGGGCGAAAGCCUGAUCCAGCCAUGCCGCGUGUGUGAAGAAGGCCUUCGGGUUGUAAAGCACUUUCAGUGGGGAAGAAAGCCUUGGGGCUAAUACCCUCGAGGAAGGACAUCACCCACAGAAGAAGCACCGGCUAACUCCGUGCCAGCAGCCGCGGUAAUACGGAGGGUGCGAGCGUUAAUCGGAAUUACUGGGCGUAAAGCGCGCGUAGGCGGUCUGAUAAGCCGGUUGUGAAAGCCCCGGGCUCAACCUGGGAACGGCAUCCGGACCUGUCAGGCUAGAGUGCAGGAGAGGAAGGUAGAAUUCCCGGUGUAGCGGUGAAAUGCGUAGAGAUCGGGAGGAAUACCAGUGGCGAAGGCGGCCUUCUGGACUGACACUGACGCUGAGGUGCGAAAGCGUGGGUAGCAAACAGGAUUAGAUACCCUUGUAGUC
rnacentral:rRNA from 1 species